AGUUAAAUGUUAGAAUCAUUUUAUUUUGAAUUAAAUUAUUUAUUUAUUAAUAGGUUAAUUAAAUUAUUAAUUAUUUUUAUUAUGAUAAAUAGAAUAAAUUAUUUUUUUUAUAGUAAAUUAGUAUAGUAAUAGAAUAUAUUUUAAUAAUGUUAAGAAUAAUUUAUUUUUAGUACCUUGUGUAUCAGGGUUGAUUAAUAAAAAUUAAUAUAUAUUAUUUUCUCGAAAAAAUUAAGAGCUAAUUUUAUAUAAAUUUUAAUGUGGAAUUAUUAUUUAAAAUAUAUUAUUGGUAAUGAAAUGUUAUUCGUUUUUUUUGAUAUCUAGUUAUUUAAGAAAUAUAUUUAAUUUAGCAUAAUUUAAUAAUUUUUUUAUUUUUAAAUUUAUUAUUAUAAUUAUAGUUAUAUUUUAAGGGUUGAGCUUUAAAUUAAAUUUUUAUAAAUAAUUUAAUAUAUAAAAUUAAAUAGAAUUAGAAUUUUUUUAUUUUUUAUAAUAUGUUAUAAUUAGGUUUUAUGUAAAUUUUAUUUUUAUUUAUUUUAAAUUUUUUAUUAAAUAUUAUAAUUAAAUUUUGAAUUUAUAGAUAUAAUGAUUAAAUUAGUAUUAUUUAUUUUUAAUGAAAAUUAAUAUUUUAAGGUAUAAAUAAGGAAUUCGGCAAAUUUUAUUUUCACCUGUUUAUUAAAAACAUGUCCUUUUGAAUAUGAUUUAAGGUCUAGUCUGCUCAAUGAUGAAUUAAAUAGCUGCAGUAUUUUGACUGUACAAAGGUAGCAUAAUCAAUAGUUUUUUAAUUGAAAGCUUGUAUGAAUGGCUGGAUGAGAAAUAAACUGUCUAUUUAUAAUAAAAAGAAUUUUAUUUUUAAGUUAAAAAGCUUAAAUUUUAGUAAAAGACGAGAAGACCCUAUAGAGUUUAAUUUUUUAUAUAAUUUUUAUUAAUAAAGAAUUUUAUUUAUUUAAAUAUUAUAAUUAAUUUGAUUGGGGUGAUUUUAAAAUUUAUUUAACUUUUAUAAUUUUUUUACAUUAAUAUAUGAGUAUAUGAUCCAUUAUUUAUGAUUAAUAGAUUAAAUUACCUUAGGGAUAACAGCGUAAUUUUUUUGGAGAGUUCUUAUUGAUAAAAAAGAUUGCGACCUCGAUGUUGGAUUAAAAUUAACUAUUGGCGCAGAAGUUAAUGGGUUGGGUCUGUUCGACCUUUAAAAUUUUACAUGAUCUGAGUUUAAACCGGUGUAAACCAGGUUGGUUUCUAUCUUUAUUUAAUUAAUAUAUUUUAGUACGAGAGGACCUAAUAUAUGUAAUAUUUAUUUAAAUUAGAUUAAUAUUAAAUUUGUUAUUUUGGCAGAUUAGUGCAUUAAAUUUAGAAUUUAAUUAUGUAUAUAAAUACAG
rnacentral:rRNA from 1 species